UGGGGAAUAUUGGACAAUGGGCGAAAGCCUGAUCCAGCCAUGCCGCGUGUGUGAAGAAGGUCUUCGGAUUGUAAAGCACUUUAAGUUGGGAGGAAGGGCAUUAACCUAAUACGUUAGUGUUUUGACGUUACCGACAGAAUAAGCACCGGCUAACUCUGUGCCAGCCGCAGCGGUAAUACAGAGGGUGCAAGCGUUAAUCGGAAUUACUGGGCGUAAAGCGCGCGUAGGUGGUUUGUUAAGUUGGAUGUGAAAGCCCCGGGCUCAACCUGGGAACUGCAUCCAAAACUGGCAAGCUAGAGUACGGUAGAGGGUGGUGGAAUUUCCUGUGUAGCGGUGAAAUGCGUAGAUAUAGGAAGGAACACCAGUGGCGAAGGCGACCACCUGGACUGAUACUGACACUGAGGUGCGAAAGCGUGGGGAGCAAACA
rnacentral:rRNA from 1 species